AAGAAUUUAAGUUAAAAAAACUAUUGACCUUCAAAGUCAAAACUAGGGUAUAAACCUAAUUCUUA
rnacentral:tRNA from 1 species